GCAUAACGCGAAGAACCUUACCCACCUUUGACAUGUACGGAAUCCUUUAGAGAUAGAGGAGUGCUCGAAAGAGAGCCGUAACACAGGUGCUGCAUGGCUGUCGUCAGCUCGUGUCGUGAGAUGUUGGGUUAAGUCCCGCAACGAGCGCAACCCUUGCCAUUAGUUGCUACGAAAGGGCACUCUAAUGGGACUGCCGGUGACAAACCGGAAGAAGGUGGGGAUGACGUCAAGUCCUCAUGGCCCUUAUAGGUGGGGCUAGAAACGUCAUACAAUGGCCGGUACAAAGGGUCGCGAAGCCGCGAGGUGGAGCCAAUCCCAUAAAGCCGGUCGUAGUCCGGAUCGCAGUCUGCAACUCGACUGCGUGAAGUCGGAAUCGCUAGUAAUCGUGGAUCAGCAUGUCACGGUGAAUACGUUCCCGGGUCUUGUACACACCG
rnacentral:rRNA from 1 species